AGUGAACGCUGGCGGUAGGCCUAACACAUGCAAGUCGAACGGCAGCACAGGAGAGCUUGCUCUCUGGGUGGCGAGUGGCGGACGGGUGAGGAAUACAUCGGGAUCUACUCUGUCGUGGGGGAUAACGUAGGGAAACUUACGCUAAUACCGCAUACGACCUACGGGUGAAAGCAGGGGACCUUCGGGCCUUGCGCGAUUGAAUGAGCCGAUGUCGGAUUAGCUAGUUGGCGGGGUAAAGGCCCACCAAGGCGACGAUCCGUAGCUGGUCUGAGAGGAUGAUCAGCCACACUGGAACUGAGACACGGUCCAGACUCCUACGGGAGGCAGCAGUGGGGAAUAUUGGACAAUGGGCGCAAGCCUGAUCCAGCCAUACCGCGUGGGUGAAGAACGCCUUCGGGUUGUAAAGCCCUUUUGUUGGGAAAGAAAUCCAGCUGGCUAAUACCCGGUUGGGAUGACGUUACCCAAAGAAUAAGCACCGGCUAACUUCGUGCCAGCCGCCGCGGUAA
rnacentral:rRNA from 1 species